rnacentral:rRNA from 1 species
UACGUAGGGUGCAAGCGUUGUCCGGAAUUAUUGGGCGUAAAGAGCUCGUGAGCGGUUUGUCGCGUCUGCCGUGAAAAUUCGAGGCUCAACCUCGAACUUGCGGUGGGUACGGGCAGACUAGAGUGUGGUAGGGGAGACUGGAAUUCCUGGUGUAGCGGUGAAAUGCGCAGAUAUCAGGAGGAACACCAAUGGCGAAGGCAGCUCGCUGGGACGGUACUGACGCUGAGACGCGAAAGCGUGGGGAGCAAACAGG